rnacentral:rRNA from 1 species
UAUGUCGCAUGAGUGAAGAAGGCCUUCGGGUUGUAAAGCUCUUUCAGUGAGGAAGAUAAUGACGGUACUCACAGAAGAAGUCCUGGCUAACUCCGUGCCAGCAGCCGCGGUAAUACGGAGAGGGCUAGCGUUAUUCGGAAUCAUUGGGCGUAAAGGGCGCGUAGGCGGAUUAGUAAGUUAAAAGUGAAAUCCCAGGGCUUAACCUUGGAACUGCUUUUAAAACUGCUUAUCUAGAGAUUGAAAGAGGAUAGAGGAAUUCCUAGUGUAGAGGUGAAAUUCGUAAAUAUUAGGAGGAACACCAGUGGCGAAGGCGUCUAUCUGGUUCAAAUCUGACGA